rnacentral:rRNA from 1 species
UGGGGAAUAUUGGACAAUGGGCGAAAGCCUGAUCCAGCAAUGCCGCGUGUGUGAAGAAGGCCUUAGGGUUGUAAAGCACUUUCAGCAGGGAAGAAAAGCUCGGGGCUAAUAUCCCCGGGCCUUGACGGUACCUGCAGAAGAAGCACCGGCUAACUCCGUGCCAGCAGCCGCGGUAAUACGGAGGGUGCAAGCGUUAAUCGGAAUUACUGGGCGUAAAGCGCGCGUAGGUGGUUUGGUAAGUCGGAUGUGAAAGCCCCGGGCUCAACCUGGGAAUUGCAUUCGAAACUGCCAGACUAGAGUAUGGUAGAGGGAAGUGGAAUUCCGCAUGUAGCGGUGAAAUGCAUAGAGAUGCGGAGGAACACCAGUGGCGAAGGCGACUUCCUGGACCAAUACUGACACUGAGGUGCGAAAGCGUGGGGAGCAA